rnacentral:lncRNA from 1 species
GUGAGAGCCCUGGCUGACCUAAGAAUUAGAAGGGAGUGUCAUGAUGAAUGUUCUGGUGCUUUGAGAUCUCUUAGCUCCUAAGUCUCAAGGGCAUAGCAGUACUCCAGGAUCAGGGUUUGGCUUUACUAAAACUUGAAGACAGGAGUCGCCUGUGCAGGUCAUGGCAAACAUUACUCUGAUAAAUACUUUUGGCCUGAUAUUUAGCUCAAUUUAUUCAGUCAACCCAAGCUAAGAAUGUCCUCUUUUGCGUUACAGAGCCACUUGUGAAGGAAUGAGCGUCUCCCCUGGGGACAGCAGUGACCAGCAGUGACAAACCCAGCCACGAACUGACCUUGCUGUAUGUCUCCCAUGGGAGAGGUGAUGGGUGUGCAGAGACAGGCACUGAGCAUCUCUGAAAGGUUUCUGAGAAAAGAGCCAGAAAUCAAACCUGGAACUUGUUGCUGCUAAUCAAAUCAUGACAGAAAGAGAAACCUACCACAGGAGCUGGAGCUUCAUGAUUUCUAUCAAAAGGAAGGAAAUCCAAAGGGGAUAUAUAGUGACAUCAAGCACUAGAGGUCCAUAUGAAUGAUCAUAAGGAAUGUCCUAAUCACUAGGCUGAGGACUAUUUUGGAGCUGCUUUCAC